rnacentral:lncRNA from 1 species
AGACUUGGUCAUUUGGCGCUCAUGCCGGACGAGGUAUGGGGACGACCCGCUUCACCCUCAUACCAGACGGGGUAUUGAGGUUUAUUGUUUUGGCGCUCAUACCGGAUGGGGUAUAGGGACGGCUCUGGAAUUAAGAUUGUUAAGGAGAAUGGUUCACGUGUAGCGGGACCCCUAUAGAUCCCCAUGGAUACUAGUAGGCUGGUAAAAACGAGAAACAGUGAUAAUCAGCUAUUGUUAAUGAAUACGGGUUUAUGAU